rnacentral:rRNA from 1 species
AACGAACGCUGGCGGCAGGCUUAACACAUGCAAGUCGAACGCAUCCUUCGGGGUGAGUGGCAGACGGGUGAGUAACGCGUGGGAACGUGCCCUUCAGUUCGGGAUAACCCAGGGAAACUUGGGCUAAUACCGGAUACGUGCGAGAGCGGAAAGAUUUAUCGCUGAAGGAUCGGCCCGCGUCUGAUUAGCUAGUUGGUGGGGUAAUGGCCCACCACGGCGACGGUCAGUAGCUGGUCUGAGAGGAUGAUCAGCCACAUUGGGACUGGGACACGGCCCAAACUCCGACGGGAGGCAGCAGUGGGAAAUAUUGGACAAUGGGCGCAAGCCUGCUCCAGCCAUGCCGCGUGAGUGAUGAAGGCCUUAGGGUUGUAAAGCUCUUUCGUCCGGGACGAUAAUGACGGUACCGGAAGAAGAAGCCCCGGCUAACUUCGUGCCAGCCGCCGCGGUAA